GAAGCCCUUCGGGGUGGAUUAGUGGCGAACGGGUGAGUAACACGUGGGCAAUCUGCCCUGCACUCUGGGACAAGCCCUGGAAACGGGGUCUAAUACCGGAUACGACUUUCGGAGGCAUCUCUGAAGGUGGAAAGCUCCGGCGGUGCAGGAUGAGCCCGCGGCCUAUCAGCUUGUUGGUGGGGUGAUGGCCUACCAAGGCGACGACGGGUAGCCGGCCUGAGAGGGCGACCGGCCACACUGGGACUGAGACACGGCCCAGACUCCUACGGGAGGCAGCAGUGGGGAAUAUUGCACAAUGGGCGAAAGCCUGAUGCAGCGACGCCGCGUGAGGGAUGACGGCCUUCGGGUUGUAAACCUCUUUCAGCAGGGAAGAAGCGAAAGUGACGGUACCUGCAGAAGAAGCGCCGGCUAACUACGUGCCAGCAGCCGCGGUAAUACGUAGGGCGCAAGCGUUGUCCGGAAUUAUUGGGCGUAAAGAGCUCGUAGGCGGCUUGUCGCGUCGGAUGUGAAAGCCCGGGGCUUAACCCCGGGUCUGCAUUCGAUACGGGCAGGCUAGAGUUCGGUAGGGGAGAUCGGAAUUCCUGGUGUAGCGGUGAAAUGCGCAGAUAUCAGGAGGAACACCGGUGGCGAAGGCGGAUCUCUGGGCCGAUACUGACGCUGAGGAGCGAAAGCGUGGGGAGCGAACAGGAUUAGAUACCCUGGUAGUCCACGCCGUAAACGUUGGGAACUAGGUGUGGGCGACAUUCCACGUCGUCCGUGCCGCA
rnacentral:rRNA from 1 species